GCGGAAGUGGCUCAGUUGGUAGAGCAUCACAUUGCCAAUGUGAAGGUCGCGGGUUCGAAUCCCGUCUUCCGCUCCA
rnacentral:tRNA from 1 species